GUGCCAGCAGCCGCGGUAAUACGGGGGGUGCAAGCGUUAUUCGGAAUUAUUGGGCGUAAAGGGCGCGUAGGCGGUCUCUUAAGUCAGAUGUGAAAGCCCGGGGCUUAACCCAGGAAGUGCAUUGGAUACUGGAUAACUUGAGCACGGGAGAGGAAAGUGGAACUUCGAGUGUAGGGGUGAAAUCCGUAGAUAUUCGAAGGAACACCAGUGGCGAAGGCGACUUCCUGGACCAAUACUGACGCUGAGGCGCGAAGGCGUGGGGAGCAAACAGGAUUAGAAACCCUAGUAGUCC
rnacentral:rRNA from 1 species